rnacentral:rRNA from 1 species
UACAGAGGUCUCAAGCGUUGUUCGGAUUCAUUGGGCGUAAAGGGUGCGUAGGCGGCGCGGUAAGUCGGAUGUGAAAUCUCGGGGCUUAACUCCGAAACUGCAUUCGAUACUGCCGUGCUUGAGGACUGGAGAGGAGACUGGAAUUUACGGUGUAGCGGUGAAAUGCGUAGAUAUCGAGAGGAACACCUGCGGCGAAGGCGGGUUGCUGGGCUGACACUGACGCUGAUGCGCGAAAGCCAGGGGAGCGAACGGG